UACGUAGGGACCAAGCGUUGUUCGGAUUUACUGGGCGUAAAGGGCGCGUAGGCGGCAAUUCAAGUCAUCUGUGAAAUCUCCGGGCUUAACUCGGAACGGUCAGAUGAUACUGCUUUGCUAGAGUGCAGAAGGGGCAAUCGGAAUUCUCGGUGUAGCGGUGAAAUGCGUAGAUAUCGAGAGGAACACCAGAGGUGAAGACGGGUUGCUGGGCUGACACUGACGCUGAGGCGCGAAAGCCAGGGGAGCAAACGGG
rnacentral:rRNA from 1 species